UACGUAGGGUGCGAGCGUUUAAUCGGAAUACUGGGCGUAAAGCGUGCGCAGGCGGUGAUGUAAGACCGAUGUGAAAUCCCCGGGCUUAACCUGGGAACUGCAUUGGUGACUGCAUCGCUCGAGUAUGGCAGAGGGGGGUAGAAUUCCACGUGUAGCAGUGAAAUGCGUAGAGAUGUGGAGGAAUACCGAUGGCGAAGGCAGCCCCCUGGGUCAAUACUGACGCUCAUGCACGAAAGCGUGGGGGAGCAAACAGG
rnacentral:rRNA from 1 species